rnacentral:snRNA from 1 species
GGAUGUGAGGCCGAGCUGGCUGUGACACCUGCCAUCCCAGUGAUCGCCAGGGUUGAUUCAGCUGAUCUGACUGGCGAGGUGGGUGUCCCCUUCCUCCCUCACCACUCCGUGUGUGUCUCUCUGGAAGCUGCGUGCUCAGUUGAAGAAGAUGAACUUCCCCGAUAGAAGAAGGAUAGUCCUCCAUUUAAGAGUAUAGAAGUAGCUAUGCUCUUCUGCUAGAGGCUCCAAACAAGCUCUCAAAGUAGAGUUGACCCUGGAACUACAUUGCUGCAUUUUGCGACAGUAUGCCUAAAAAGCCAAAUGCACCGUGUGU